UGCUAAGUUCCGGGUCGUGGCCGACGA
rnacentral:piRNA from 4 species